rnacentral:rRNA from 1 species
GACGAACGCUGGCGGCGUGCUUAACACAUGCAAGUCGAACGGAGUGGCGAACGGGUGAGUAACACGUGGGUGACCUGCCCUGCACUUCGGGAUAAGCCUGGGAAACUGGGUCUAAUACCGGAUAGUGUGGGAUGGGCCCGCGGCCUAUCAGCUUGUUGGUGGGGUAAUGGCCUACGAAGGCGGCGACGGGUAGCCGGCCUGAGAGGGUGGACGGCCACAUUGGGACUGAGGCACGGACCAGACGCCUACGGGAGGCAGUAGUGGGGAAUAUUGCAGAAUGGGCGGACGCGUGAUGCAGCGACGCGGGGUGGGGGAUGACGGGCUUCGGGUUGUAAACUCCUGUCACCAUAGCCGCGGUAGAUAGAGAGGAAGCACCGGCUAACUACGUGCCAGCAGCCGCGGUAAUAC